rnacentral:RNase_P_RNA from 1 species
GCAGUUGGCCGGUCUGUCGCGUGCACGUUUCGUGCAGGAGGAAAGUCCGGGCAACAUAGAGCAUCCUACUUCCUAACAGAAAGCUGUCCGUGAGGGUAGAGUAACGUAGAAGAAAAUAACCGCCGCUCCUUUCGGGGAGAGGUAAGGGUGAGAAGGUGGGGUAAGAGCCCACCAGCCGCAUGGUGACAUGUCGGGCUGUACGUCUUAGGAGUUGUAAGGUCAUGUAAAC